AGGCCUUGGCAAUGAACAAAGAGACACCUUGUUGGUGGUGUUGCUCUUAUAUCAGUCAGGGGUAGAGCAGAUAGCAAUCCUUUGUUCAUUGUAGCUUGAUGUCUGGCUUGGUGGCCAAAGCUAUCUGUCUUAGUUAGGGUU
ensembl:snoRNA LOC120094908 small nucleolar RNA SNORA48